CAGACGGGAGGGGACAUGCUCCUAGACCGUGGGAUAGUGUGUGGCACAGUGGGAUUCUGAAAGGCCCAGGGGACAGAUGUGAUCUUCCUGGAUCCCACAGUGGGGUGUACUGCCCAAGAAAGUGUUGAUAACACUUGGGGACAGAGUAGUCAUUUGCUGUUUUUAUCAGUGAGGAGGCCCACAGAGAGGCUUUGAGGUUCCUGAAGACCAGAAGGAGCUACACAAACAUGUUGGGGGUGGUGACCUCUCGGUGGAAAGGACAAGGACGUCUUGGGUCUUACACUGUAACACGAAUAUUGACAGGUCAGUGAUAUUUCAUGUUUUUCCUGCUCAUAAAAAUACAGUGAGGAAAUUAACAGCCUGGACUGUGGGAAAAGAAGAAAUGCCAAAAUGCUGAUAUGCCUGGGUCUGAACUGGUUGUUUACAGAGUGAAAAGCAGGUCACACAUAGGCUGAGACGCGACUUCCGUCAUGCCUGGGAAUCUACAAACUCAUUUCUCUCUCAUUGGCAGAACAUGAAAGCUAAAGAUUAUCCCCUAAUCCUGUGGCAUUUUUUAAUCCAUGGAAUGGGCUUUGCUGCUCAAAAAUUUUCACUUAAAGUCACACACUCUUUGGAGAUACAAUCAUUUUGUUUACCCCUGGUAGUAUCAGUGGAAAAAGUUGUUGGAAUGAAUGUCUACAAUAGUUAGCGUGGAUGAAAAUGGUUUUGCCACUGUCCGUCUCAAAUUUGUUUUUCAGUUCAGAUACUGGAAGUUCUUGUGAGAGCUUUUCCUUUGAAAAACAAGGGCAUGACCUUUAAUGUACUGGGGAAAAGCGGAGAAAACCCGGAUGUCCAUCACUGGGUGAACCGACAAAAUGUGGUAUAUCCAUACAAUGGAAUAUUAUUCAGCCAUAAAAAGGAAGUGCUGAUACAUGCAACCACGUGGAUAGACGUUGACAUUGUCUGAGUGAAAGAAGCCAGAUACAAAAGGCCACAGGUUAUAUGACUCCAUUUACAUGGAAUAUCUGCAAAAAGGCAAA